AUGAACGCUGGCGGCGUGCCUAAUACAUGCAAGUCGAGCGAACGGACGAGAAGCUUGCUUCUCUGAUGUUAGCGGCGGACGGGUGAGUAACACGUGGAUAACCUACCUAUAAGACUGGGAUAACUUCGGGAAACCGUAGCUAAUACCGGAUAAUAUUUUGAACCGCAUGGUUCAAAAGUGAAAGACGGUCUUGCUGUCACUUAUAGAUGGAUCCGCGCUGCAUUAGCUAGUUGGUAAGGUAACGGCUUACCAAGGCAACGAUGCAUAGCCGACCUGAGAGGGUGAUCGGCCACACUGGAACUGAGACACGGUCCAGAAUCCUACGGGAGGCAGCAGUAGGGAAUCUUCCGCAAUGGGCGAAAGCCUGACGGAGCAACGCCGCGUGAGUGAUGAAGGUCUUCGGAUCGUAAAACUCUGUUAUUAGGGAAGAACAUAUGUGUAAGUAACUGUGCACAUCUUGACGGUACCUAAUCAGAAAGCCACGGCUAACUACGUG
rnacentral:rRNA from 1 species